rnacentral:rRNA from 1 species
UACGUAGGGUGCAAGCGUUAAUCGGAAUUACUGGGCGUAAAGGGCUCGUAGGCGGCCAACUAAGUCAGACGUGAAAUCCCUCAGCUUAACUGGGGAACUGCGUCUGAUACUGGUUGGCUUGAGUGCAGGAGAGGAACGCGGAAUUCCAGGUGUAGCGGUGAAAUGCGUAGAUAUCUGGAGGAACACCGGUGGCGAAGGCGGCGUUCUGGACUGCAACUGACACUGAGGAACGAAAGCCAGGGGAGCAAACGGG